rnacentral:misc_RNA from 1 species
AUGUUUAAAAUAAUGCAGGACAAUUAGCAUAAAAAUAUUUUAUUUAAAAAAAACUUAGUAUGACAGAGAUACCUUGUUGGGCUGAUAUUGAUAUUGGCUCUUUGUUAAAUAGAGAGAAUGUUGAGAAACUUUAUGACACUCAGCUAAGUUAUGAAUACAAAAGUGACUUGUAUGAAAAUAAAAGUAGUCAUUGUAAAGAUGGAGUGUCACUGAUACCUGAUUUUGAAGAAGAGAAACCUACAAACGAAAUAUGUGAUGAAUAUUUGACUUCGCUAAUAACCAAAGAUAAUAUUAGUAUUAUGAAGUUAUACAAUAACUUUUCAAGUUCAAUUGCAACACGAAAACGAGUUUGUAUUAUAAAUGCAGUUUUACAAACUAUUAGUCAAAAGUAUCAUAAAACUAGAACAAAAGUAUCUGUCCAUGAUCAUUUACCACAAAAAAAAUCUGCCAAUUAUCCACAAGAAAAAGUAUUAAGUAAGUUUGACCAAAGCAGUAUUAUGUUGGAGAUGUCUAUAAAAGCACUCAUGACAUUUUUGUUUUCAAUUCUGAGAUUAUCUAAAAACUCAUCAGACGUGCACAUGAGAUUACUAUGUGAAGAAGUUCUUUGUUCUUGCUCAGAUAUGAUUAUGACAGUUCCUCCGCUGUCUUUGUUAAAUGAUAACAAUUUUCCAAAGGUUGCCAGAGAUUGUCUAGAUGAAAUAAUGUUAUUUAUGUUACAGUUAAUGAAGUCUAAAGAUAGUACUGAUGUUGAUUCAGUUCUACAAACCUUUGCAAGUGAAAUUUUUCUUGGUUUAUCUAUGCUACGGGGUAGCUUGACACAUUUAUUGGUUUGGGUAGAUAAGUGUAUUGAAAAUGCUAUAAAUGGUUCAAUGUUAGGUAAAAUCAGUACAAAGAAAUUUAUAUAUUGGUUUAAUCAAAUUUGCGAUGAAAAAUUAGAGCUUCAGAAUUCUGAGGAGUUUUUGGCACUAAAUGAUGCAGCCAUUUUACUUCUGGGAAACGUUUCAAAAAAGGCUAAUUUGCUGACCCACCAACAUCUUGGCUCACCUAAUGAUUCAUCAAGUCUUAAACACGAGGCUUAUGCUUGGGGAAGUAAUAGCAGUCAUCAACUUGUUGAAGGAAACAAAGAUAAAAUUUUAACUCCAAAGAAAAAUGAUGCUUUUAAAAAUGCUAUUCAGUUAGAGGCUGGUCAGUAUUGCACAUUUGCUUUGUUUGAUGAUGGAUCAUUACAUGCAUGUGGAAAGGGAUCACAUGGUAAACUUGGUCUUGGAGAUUCUAGCAGCAAGCAGUGUUUACACAAGUUAAACCUUUUUAAUCAAAAUAUUGAUCAGAUUUCAUCAUCAAAAGGGUCAGACAGUCACACAUUGGCUCUUACAAAAAAUGGAGUUGUUUACAGUUGGGGUGAUGGUGAAUUUGGGAAGUUGGGCCAUGGAAAUGUUGCAACACAAAAGCUUCCAAAAGUUAUUCGAGGUGUUUUUAAAAAUCAAAUAAUAACAUUUAUAUCAGCUGGAAGUCGACACAGUGCAGCUAUUACAAAAGAUGGAGAUCUUUACACUUGGGGAGAGGGUGAACAUGGGAGAUUAGGUCAUGGAGAUAGUAGUAUCCAGCGUGUACCAACACUUGUGCGAUCCAUUGAUGCUGCAAGUCAGGUUGCAGCAGGGUGCUCACACACUGUUGUGCUUUCUAAAGAUGAAAUGACUGUAUGGACUUUUGGUGCAGGAGAUAAUGGUAAACUUGGCCAUGGAAAUACAAAAAUGGAAUAUUACCCUAAGAUUGUUGAUGCAUUAAAAGGUAUUCGUAUCAAGAAGAUUGCAGCUGGUACACAAUGCAGUAUAGCAUUAACAUGGACUGGUUUUAUUUAUGUUUGGGGUUGUGGACCAUGCUUGGGUGUAGGGGCUGCUGAUGCUGUGCACCUUCUUCCAAAAAUUGUAGAGUCUUUACGAGAUGUACAUAUUGUUGAUAUUUCACUUGGGGAUUGUCAUUGCUUAGCACUAAGUGCAGAUCACGAAGUUUACAGUUGGGGAAACAAUAACAUGGGGCAAUGUGGUUUAGGACACUGUUUUACGCCAGUUUCAUUGCCUACAAAAGUGCUUGCUCUUGAUGGAAUUAAAAUUGAACAGAUUUCUACAGGAACAUCUCACAGUUUUGCCUGGACAACCCCACCUCUAAAAAAAAAGUACUUAGUCUCUAAUAAACCUUAUUGUUUAUCAUUGGACAAAGAAACAUUUAUUAAGCUGUAUCUUCUCACAGAAAAGUAUGUGAAAAAUAAAUCAAAGUUUGAAAGUUUACCAAAUAAUGGUACAAUAAAUUUUUUGGAAUCAAUAAUUGAUUUAUUAAAUUGUCAUUUCCAACUGGCUGUGAAGUAUUCAGCUCUGCAGAAUGAUUUUUUGGAAGAUAUAAGAAAACCUUUUUUAGAGAUUUUGUUGCAACUUGUUGAUGAAAAAGAUUUCCCUUGUGCCAUCUUAAAAAAAGUAUCAGAUGUUGUAUUUGUUGGUGCUGUGUAUUUUUUGUCAAAUUUAGAGGAUUGCACUGAGAUGGCACUGACUUUACUUUCUGAAAUAAUUCAGGAUAAUUUUUUAGCACCUGCAAAGUUGUUGCUGGUGAGAAUAGUAUUGAACAGUCUAUGUGAUCAUAAAGUAAUCACACAAUUGUUUGGCUUUUAUGAGAUACAUGAUAUCAAAGAAUUGCUUGUAAACCAACCAAAUAUUGAAAAAGAAAAAGAAAAGAAAUUCUUAACUUUGCAAAAACUGUUAAAUCUUCUUAUCCAAUGUUCAACAAAUUUAUCAAAAAAACAAUUUGAAUUGUGUAGUAGUUUACCUGAUAAUGUUUGUUUACAACAAAUUUGUGAAAUACAAGAACUUCUCUUGAAGCUUCUACAGUUAUUGCAGUUACAUAUUUUUGCAUCUGUUGUUAAUAAAGGCGCACCUAAUAUUCAUGUUAUACCUUUUGAAACAAUUUUAAUGGACUACAUGGCAGUGUUAAGUCAACAUGUUUGCAAUACUUUAACAUAUGCUAUUCAACUUGAAAAAGAUCAUCAACAAAGUUACUUGGAUAACUCAGUUGUUGGACCAAUACUACUAUGCUUUGUUCAUUCUUUAAUAACUGUUUCUCAAUAUAAUUUCAGUCGUUUUUUUAAAUUUGAUGCAAUGAUGAACAUAUUCUGUGCUUUAAAUAAAAUUAAUCAGGGCUCAAGGGAAUAUAUAAGUUUAAAGGAAAAAAAAAUAAAAACAGAUUUUGUGAGCUUAAACCACAUUACACAAGAAUCGAGUUGGUUACUAGAUACUCAAGUUUCUUUGGGUAUUUUAAUUGGGUGUGUCAUCAAUGUUGGAUUAGCUGGAAACAAAGAAACUAAUGAAGAGGUUUGCUGCAAAACAUUAUUAACAAGUUCAUUGUUGUGUAAUGGCCUUGAAGAAAGAGAGAAGUUAAAAGAUCAUGCAUUAACUGAAUGUUUGAACAAAAUUAAAGCUAACAAACAAAUUGUUUUAAAUUUAUCAAUAUCUACUGAAGUGCCAAAUCAAACUAGCUUCUUGUUAGAAUUAGCAAAUGGCCCUUACACUCCGACUUUGUUUAAACUUUCACAAGGAAUGUUUGACCAUGCUGUACAAACAGGUAUCUGCAACAUUGAAAAUGAACUAUUUAAGACUUGCAUGCGUUACGUAUUGGCUGCUGUCAUCCAUCAUUGUGGUUUGAUAGACAAUGUAAUUAAUGGAAAAUGUUCUGACAGAGUACUAACUGUAGUUUUUGAUAGCUGCUUCAAUCUAGUUGAAAACUUAAUUUUAAAAGAUAUGAAUGAUGAAGAAAAAAAUGAAGAUAAUAUAUUGGAAAGUUGUUGUUCUUUGAUAUGUACAUGUGCAAUACAUAUAUUUGCAAUUAAAGCUGGUAAUACAAUCGAUUCUUUAGAAGUUUUGAAAAAUAAAUGUAGAGAUAUUAUCUUAACAAUUAAAUCAUCAGUUAAUAUAGAUAAUCUUGAAAGUGUCCUUAUUACCGUGCAACAACAACAGCUGCACAGGGCUCAAUUUAGACUUGAUUGUUUAAAGCUUCUUGCAGAGUUUAUAUUAAACAGUGUUUUUAACAAUAAAAUCAAAGCUAAUACACCAUCUGAUGCUAUUAUUCCAAUGUGUCAACUUCAUUUUCUUAGUGCAGCAUUUGGUAAAAGAAUAGAAUGCAUUGGUGGAAAACAAUUUAUGUGCCUUAAUGGUAUUGUGUCUGUUCCUUUGAGUCUAAAAACACAGAUUUUGAGUUAUCAAGAAACUGUUUUGAGAAUAUUUGCCAAUCAAGAAGAGACAUAUCAAAAUGAAGUUAGUUCUAGUGAACAAGAAAAUUUUGAUGAUGGAAUUACUGUUGGGUUUAUGUUAAAUCAGUUUAAUGAGUUUUCACCAGUGAAAGAGCUUGAGUUUACAAAUUAUAUGAGGAUUUUGAAGUCUUCUGUAUUGAUGUCUUCAUUUUCUGAUUCUGUUUCAAAUGUUAUAUUAUCACCAACUUUGUGUAGUCACUACCGACUGUUUCCUGAUAGGUUCAAAAAAGCACUUCUUGUAUAUGUGGCGUCACACUCUGACUUGAUAAAACUAACAUCAAUAAAUAUAUUAUUCAAAGAAGUGCACAAAGACAUUAAAAACUGGUUGCUUUUGCCAUCAAACUUUAUAAAUCAACAACAUAAAAACUUUAAAAAAGAGAUUGGGCAACUUACAGUAAUUAAAAGGUGUUGUCUUAUGAGUACAAUUAUAUGCAAAAAUUUAUGUGAACAUGAUUGGAUUGAUAUGUUGCUUGAGUAUUUAGAACAAAAGAGAUAUUGUGAAUUUUAUCUUCAAAUUGUUGUUAUCAAGCUUUUAAAAGUUAUUUUGAGUUCAAAAGUGCAAUCAAGUUUAUGUCAGAAACAGAUCAUCAACAGACUUUUUUGUUUGAUGUAUAAAUUUAUUUGGGUUGAUCCAUAUGAAUCUAGAACUUUUGUUAAUAAGUCAAGUGACUGCACUUCAUUCUUUAUAAAACCCAAUACAAAAAAUAUCAUGAUUAAAGAUAAUUCAACAGUUGUCCACUUAGAUGGAAACUCAGGUUAUGCAGUUGUAGAUUUUCCAUUGAAUGAAAAAUCUUUUGAAUGGAAGGUCUAUGUCAAUCAUGAUGCUAAUAACGACCCAGGUAUAUUUAUUGGUAUAUGCAAACAUCCUUUCUCUGAAUACUCUUAUGAAAGUGCAACUAACAUGUGGCUUUAUCAUGGAUCAAAUGGCUAUCUUUAUCACGAGGGGGAAAAAUGUUCAAAACUUCCUAGUUUUACACAAAAUGACUUUAUAAAGUUUCAUUUCAACAGUAGUAAGAGAAUUCUGUCUUGUAGCAAAAAUGGUGAUGUAGUUACUACAGCUUUUGAAAAUUUACCAAAUGACACUUACUAUCCUAUUGUAGUGUUCUAUAAUUCUACCCCAGGCUCAAAAGUAACAAUUAAAGAUUUAAAAAAAAUAAAAACAAAACCUGUAUUUUUGCUUGAAGAACCAAUAUGUGCACCGUCACCAGUUACUUUGUGUGAACAAAUAAGAAGAAUUGUAGUUGAACUUGCAGUUAAAAAAGACUGGGAAAAUAUGUUUACAAAUCAAAUCAGAGCAAUGUGUUUGACUUUGAAAGAUAUAAAUGACUUUCAGAUGAACUAUGAAUGUGUUUCUACAUUUUGUAAAAUAGUUUUUCCUUUGUUAAGUGUUAUGAGUGGAGUAGAUAGUGGAUUAAUUCGAGGUCAAAAAUGUAUAUCUGAAGCUGAAAGAAAAGGAAUCAUACUAGGUACAACAGGAGAUGAUAAGGUAGCUGUACAGUGGCUUGACCAACCUGUUCUUCAAGAAAUGCUUUCCAGCAAGUUGAGAUCUGAUCCAGUACCACUUUCUUUGUUUGGACUUUCUGUUGUUGAAUUACUGGAACUAUUUUGUACAAUAAACAAUUUUUUAAAAGAUUUUGAUAUUCAGUAUAAUUCUUCUGACGAAAAACAAAGGAAUUUUUCUAAUAUUGAGAAAAAUCAUUUUUUAUUUGUAUCAAAUGUCUAUUAUGCCAUAUAUUUUUUAAAUUUGAAAUCGAUUAGUCUAAUUACAAAUUCAUCUGAGUUUGUGGUAGCAUUAUCCUCAUACUAUGAAACUAAUAAAAUAUCAGAAAUGGUAGAAAAACUUGGCGGAGUCAAUAAUGAUUAUUCAAAAGAGUUGAUUGUUUCAUUAAAGCUGAUUUUAGCACCAUUAGAUCAAAUCAAAACUCCUUUAAAAAAGUUUCCGAUUCUUAGUGAAAGUGAAAGAGCAAUAAACAUUAUGUUGUGUUUAAUCAAACAACCAAGCUUUAGCCUUGACCAUAUUUCAAAUGAAAUUACCCAUAUGGAAAACAAAACAUAUAAUGCAAGCAGCCUAUUGAGUUCAAAAAGUAACAAUAAAAAUACUAGCAAAAGAAGAUCCCAAAACACUGCUGUUAACCAAAUACUGCAAGUUUCGUUGCCUACACAGACUCUACCAUUAAUGCAAUCUCCACCAGCUAACAACCAGAAUUUAUCUGGAUUGAGGAAUCGAUUUGGAAUGAGGAAUAGAUUAAGGAGACCCAGGAUAUUGCCUAACACUUCAAGAAAUAUUUUGGUUGAUAAUGAUCAAAUUGUUCCUCGCUCACAAGAUUCACCUCAAAUUGAAUAUAUCCAAAGGCUUACAAGAAUGGGCUUUGAAGAAUCACAAGUUCGUAUGGCUCUUGAAAUUAACAAUGAUAUAAACACUGAAAAUGCUCAGCAGGCCAUACAGAGACUUGUUGGUUGGUUGAUUGAUCAUCCUAAUUCAGAUACAGAGGACAAUCCUCUUGAUACAGACGAUAAUGAUUUUGAAAUGGGUGAAUUCACAAAUGAGAUAAAGUUGGUCUGUGUUUGUUGUGAAAUAUGCAAUACAAAAGUUACUAAUUUCAAUUCACAUAUGCACUUGAAUCAUCCAGGUUGUGGUAGAAUCAAAAGUAGUGAUGAUGGUGGUAGCUAUGGAUAUAGUAGUAAUGGAAUGUACCUUGGUGGUUGGUUUGAAGGGAAAUGUGGUUCAGGAUUAGGGUUACCAUAUUAUCUACUUUGUCAAGAUUGUCGUAAAAAAUACUUAAAGGAAAAAAUUUCAGUGCCUGUUCCAUUAGGGCAUCCAUUUUCAGCAACUGAUGUUGGUCUUGCUCCCGAUCUUCUUGGUGAACUGCAAGAUGAGAACCUCAGUUUCUGUAUAAGUCAAUUCACUGAACCUUUAAAGCAAUUUCAAAACAAAAGUGAUAGACAAAACUUGCCUAGUGAAUAUAUUUUGAAGAAUCCGAACCCUCUUGGUUUUCCAGAUCAAUUAAAAGAACAAUCUAUCUUUAAAUUUUCAGAUUUUUCUAAACCCUAUGCUCUCCAAGCCAUGACCUUAGAUAACAUGGACAAGGUUCUGUAUGCAUUUCAACAUAUACAUAUAAAAUCAACAGAAAUGUUAAACACUGCUAUUUUGUUGAAUGUAUUUAAUUGUCUGGUUAAUAUGCUGUCUUCAGAUCAGCUAAAAUUUGCUAUAAAAGAGCUCAAAAUUGAAAAUGUAUACAAUCUAAUUGGAAUAUUUUGUAAACUGUCUCUUCUCUAUGAUAGGAAUGAAUUCUGUUUAUCAAGGUCUGUUGAAGUAGGGAAAAAUUUACUGGCUGUUGUGUUGCGUUCAAUGCUAAUGGAAGGCAGAAAAGAACUUAUUGUUUUGUUUAAACACAUUUCUGAUUCUUUAUUGAUUCAUUCAAAUAUUCACAAUCUCGAGUCCCAAUAUGCUUCUGGUGCAAAGUAUCGCUCAUAUAAUCCCACAAAAAUUGUUGAGCAUUUACAUUAUUGCAAAAUAAUAACAGAUUUACUUGCUACUAAAGAAAUUCUACAAUAUCUCAAGCAUUUUCACCCGAAAAUAUAUUUUUCACAUCUUAAUGGAUUAUCUGCUGCUAUAUGCUCUGGUAGUAAUGACUUACGAGUUUGGGCCUGUUCUCAAAUGGAAUCUGCUAUGUUAUACUUACAUAUUGAGAAGGCUUUUAUGAAUGACAGAUUUACUAAACAAACUUCAAAUGACAUCAAAUCAGUUAUUGUGUGUCAAUCUCUCACCAACAAAAUUCAUGCAGUUGCAUGGCAUCCACAAAAGAGAAGAUUCUUAGCAAGUGACGGGAAUGGAAACAUGAUCGUAAGACACACAUUUGACAUAAGUGAAAAGAUCAUUAAAGAUAGCUUUUUGGCUGACUCAGCUCAUAGAAUUAAACAUAUGACCUAUAAUCAAUCUGGUGAUAUUGUAGCUGGAAUUAUUAGUGGGAGCAUUUUAAAAGUAGCGUUUCAAAAAAAAACAGAAAUUACAUUUUACACAAUUGAAGUUUGUCAAGUAUCUUGUUUUGCAUGGCCAACACACAUUAAUGAAGACAGUUCUGAUAACAAAUUAAUUCUAGGUACAAAGAAUGGGGAUGUAUACCUGGUUAUAGUGCAAUCAGAAGACAUAAUUCAAAAGUUAAAUCACUGUUCUCAAUCUUAUGUAUCUAUUUCAUCAAUUGCUCUGAAUGAAUCAUCUGGUGAGCUAGUUGUUGGUUAUGCAGACGGAUCAUUAUUUAUUGGUGGUGUGUCGGAAAAAAUGUGGAGUCAAUUUAUUAAAAACUCUCUUUUUUUACCAGUUACUGAUAUACAGUUUAAUUUCACUGGUUUGUGUUUUGCCACGUUGACAAAUAAAGUGAAGGUUUGGAUUGUAGGUGACCAGCGUGCAGUUUGUUUGCAUGUACUUGAAUUAAAUGAGUUAGAACCAACAGUUUUAUCAUGGAAGCCAAAUCAUAAAAAUGAAAGUGAUUUAUCUAUAGUUGUAGGUUUUAAAGAUGGUACAAUAAAUCUUUGGACAUUUUCUAAACCAGAGAAACCAGCUGCGCUCUCUCAAUCAGAUUUUCAAUCUUGUUGCAAUAAAGAUGAGAUUUUGUUGAUGGAUAUUGACCAUUCUAAUGUGGAAACAAUAUCUUCACAGACAUUGUGUUUGUUAAGUUGUACAAUUGACCAUCUUUCAUUCAGUCUCAGUAAACAUUUAGCAGUGUCUUGUAAAAAUGGGACAGUCUACUUUUUUGAGAAUGAAAAUUUAUUUUCACCACAUAAGGUUGGCAAUUCUAUUGUUCCAAUCAAAUAUUUGUUUUGGUUGGAUGAUCAUCUAGGUUACAUUGAACAAUACUCUACUGAAAUCAAUUUUGUUAAUGUAUUAAUGUUGAAAAAUAUGACAGACUUACCUCAUCUUCGACAUGCUGAUUUUUUACUCUCUAUAAUGGAAUGUAACUCACCAUGUGCAGAUUUUAAGUUUUUCUUAACACAACUUUUUCCUUUUUUGCAAUCUCAGUACAAGUUUGAACAGAAUCAGGUAACUACAGGUACACAGUUGACUUACUCUUCUUAUAUGCGAUCUCUUGUUAAUAUUGCACUGUUAUUGAGAUAUGAUAUUUUAUUGGAAAACUCUGAGGUUGAAACAUACAAAAACAUGCGAUGGUUUAGAUUAUAUUGCAGUACCAUUUGGUCAGGAAUAGCUCUAAAAAAGCGAGCUGAAUUUCCUAAAUCAUUUUGGGAACUAAACAACAAGUUAGAUAUUAAUGAAAAAAGCAUGGCUAACUCAAGCUGGAGUUUAACACAAGAUAAUGAAAUUAUAGAUUGGUUUACUAAUUUCCCAAAAGAUUGGGAAAUAUCAGCACCAAUAACUGUUUAUGUUUGGGGAUCUAAUAUUCAUGGAGAGUUGCCUGGUUUGCAAGGAAAAACAUGCUUACAACCAAAUUUAGUGUCAACAUUUAAACAAGUUCGUGAAAUUGUGUGUGGUCAAAAUUGCACAUUUCUCUUACAAACUAAUGGUUCAGUAUUUGCAUGUGGAGAGGGCACUUAUGGAAGAUUAGGGCAAGGGACAUCAGAUGAUGAGCACUCUUUGGUACCAAUAACUGAGCUGCAAGGUUAUUGUAUAAUUCAGUUGGCUACUUCCCUUGGCGGUGAUGGACAUACUUUAGCAGUAGCAGAUAGUGGUGAAGUCUUUAGUUGGGGUGAUGGUGAUUAUGGAAAGUUAGGACAUGGAAACAGUGAAAGACAAAGAAAACCAAAACAAAUUAUAGCACUUCAAGCAGAGCAUGUUGUGCAUCUUGUGGUUUUAAACAUUCUGCUGUUUUAACUAAAGAUGGUAAAGUUUUCACAUUUGGUCAAGGCCAAUACGGAAUUUUGGGAGAUGGUGGAAAUUCUCCACAAAAAACUCCACAAUUGAUAUUAUCACUAAAGAAUGAACAUAUUUCACAGAUUGCUUGUGGAAAAGAUCACACCCUUGCACUUGCUAACAAUGGAAAAAAGCUUUAUGCUUGGGGAGAUGGUGAAUUUGGCAAACUAGGCCUGGGAUCAACAAGUGUUAGGUCUAUCCCAAACCUUGUAGACAGUUAUAGAAAUGUUUGUCUUAAAAAAAUAGCAUGUGGGUCAAAAUUUUCUAUUG